GGCCUCAGCCGGCGCACCUGGCGGAGGAGGAACCUCGCGACGCGCUCUCGGGCAUCGGUUUCUCCCAGCAAAGCUUGGAGGGUUUAGCUGCGCGGAGAGCUCAGCGAGCUCUUCUGUGUCUGUUUGGGGCGUGUGGGCUCCGGGAGCGUGAGGACCGGGAAGCUAGGAGGCUCCUUCCCUUCUGGCGGCUCCCUCACUGAGACCGGGCGGUUUGGUUGCGGGGGAAGUGGAGACGAGCCACCCUUGACCUUUGACUGCAAGAACUCACCUUGAGCAGGAUAGAGGCACGUGGACGGUGACCCUCGGGAUGCAAUAAAUGCUGAGACAGAUCAGCAAACAUUGAGUGGGCCAGACACUGUUCUGAAAAAUACGCAGUCGACUUUUGAACAGCACAGGCUUGAACUGCAUGCGGCCACUAAUACUCGGACUUCCUUCUGCCUCUGCCAUCCCUAAGACAGCAAGACCCACCCCUCCUGCUCCUCAGCCUACUCGAUGUGAUGAUGUCUGGCUUCCUUUUCCCUUCAAUGGAAUAACAUAUACAAACUCUACCUAAGAGUGCUGUGUGAAGUACAUGCCAGCCUACAAGACAUGUCUCUAACCAAGUCGAAAGAGUGCAGUAUUCGUUCAUUCACUCAUUCAUUCAUUCAACAAAUGUUUAUUAAUAGGUAU
rnacentral:lncRNA from 1 species